UAGACAAAGUUCCCUUUAUUAUAAGAUUGGCACAAUUAAUAUUGAGAAUUAUGAUUGAACAAGGUGGGCUAAUUCCUGUCAUGUUGUUCCUUUUUGUGGUUAUUUUAUUCAAUGUCUUCUGAUUCAGUGUUUGGCCACUACUUAUUUGUUCCUUGUGUCUUCUUGAGUGUGUUUUGCCAUUUUUUUCAUACCUAAGUUUUUUUCCAGUAUCUUUUGUAGUGAGGAACACAGGCAAUGGAAGAAACUCAGAUUUACAAGCUGACUCCAUCUUGAGCCUGCUUGUUCCCAGUUUGAACUAUGGUUAAUAGAAAUACCACAAAAAAUUCCAGGAAGAAACUGCCCUGGGCCUGAGCCAAACAGGAAAUAGAGGGAAAGUGCCUAAAAUUCCAGAGGUUAUAGACAAAUUGCUCAAGCCAGCUGAAGUCAUCACUGAACAAUCUCUGUACACCAAGAUACCCCUUGCCGAAUAAGCUGUUCCUUUUAAACUUCUC
rnacentral:lncRNA from 1 species